rnacentral:misc_RNA from 1 species
GGAAUAAUUUCCUAAUUAUAGCCAGCAUUUAAGGCUUUAAUCAAGAGAUUACAAUAAAAAUAGUAUCUUAACUUAAUGUCCAUAAAAUCUUGAUAUGAUUAGCUGUUGUUGCCAUUUUGGAUGUCAUUACCUUCUGUAUCCUGUUACCAUGUACUGCAUAAGCCUUGCUAAUAAAUGCAUAUCUAACAUUACUCCCUCUUGGAGAAAUAGCUUGUCCUUGAGCUUGAAAUCUGUACAAGCAGCUUGGAAGUUAGGAAUUGUUUCCCAAGUGGCAUCUAUUUGAGGCAUUCCAAUCCACUGAACUAAAACUUCCCAUACGCCUUGAGACAUGAAUGAAGGAUGGCGUUAGGCAUAGGAAUUGCUUGACCUUCUGCCAUAGGUGGUAAGGACGGAAUUAUGAGGUGAACCAUUGAAUGCUUUGAGCAGCUAGAUGUGGAAUACAUUGUGAAUUUUACUAUCGGGAGGUAAUUCUAAUUGAUAAGCAACCUGUCCAACUUUGUGAAGUACCUUGAAAGACCCAUAGAACCGAGGACCUAGCUUGUACCGUAGCUUACCUGCAAUGGAACUUUGGCAUUGAGGAUGCAACUUUAGCUAGACCAUGGUACCGGGCUCAAAUUCUAAUUCAGGUGGCCUUUGUCAUAAAUUUCUUUCAUGUGCUUUUGAGCUUGUUGUAGGUGAAGGCGAGUGUCACCUAACAUCUUAUCUUGAUCCAACAGAACAUGAUCAACAACAUCAACUCGAGAAGAACCAGCUUCGUAGGAAGUGGGGUGGGUCUUGACCAUAUGCAACCUUGAAAGGAGAAGUAGGGAUGUGUGGAAAGAUGUGUCAUAACAUUAUUCUGCCCAUGGAAGCCGUUGCACCCAUUUGUUGGUUUAUCUAUGUUAUACGAAACAGCGCAAAUACAUUUCAAUAGUCCGAUUCACAACCUUUGUUUGGACAUCGGAUUAAGGGUGAUAGGCAAAGGAGAAGGCCAACUUUGUACCACACAAUAAAGCUCCUUCCAGAAAUUGCUUGUGAAAACUGCAUCCCUAUCACUUACAAUUGAUUCAGGAAGACCAGGUAGACGUAUGAUCUGGUCAAAGAAUGUAUUGGCCACCAUAAUUGUUGUAUAAGGGUGCGCCAUGGGAAUAAAUUGGGCAUACUUCAAAAAGCGGUCCAUAACGACGAACAAAACAGACUUGCCACAAGAUUUGGGUAAUCCGUCAAUGAAGUCUCUGUAGAUAUUAGGCUAGAGCUUUGUGGUAAUGGUUAAUGGCUGAAGUAAACCAGCUGUACUCAAAUGCUCAGCCUUGUUACGCUGCCAUAGGGGACAGGAAGCAACAUAUUAUUGAAUGGCAAAUUUCAUACCCCACCAGUAAAAAUUAUUAUGCACUCUCUGCAGGGUCUUGUGUAACUCUUCAUAUGUGUUAUCAUGGCCACCAGAGAAGAUUGCUGAAAUUAAGGAAGAUGUGGGCAAGAGAUAAACUCGGCUCUUGUAUAGGAUCAGACCAUUAGAGAAGGACCAAGAAUAUUAACCUCCCCAUUUUUUUAUUUUAGCAUAUAAUUCUUGAAGAGCCUUGAACCAAACCUCAUCUUGGAUUGCAUCAAACAAUAAGACUUAGGGUUGGGAGAUGGCACAAAUUAUGGCUUCAUCUUCAUCAUGCCGAGAGAGAGCAUUCAGCUCUGGUCAAGUUCCCUGCCUUAUGUUCUACCACCUUGAGAUCAAACCCCAAGAGCUUAUUAACCUUGUGUUGUUGAGUUUUCAGCAGAUACUUCAACUGUAAUGAUCCGUGUGAAUGAGGAACCUUUUUCCCCAUAAGUAAGCAUGCCAAUGUUGCACGACUUUGGCCAACCCAAUCAAUUCCCUCUCAUAUGCUGGUAAUUUGAAGUGUCUCUGCUAAUUUGCGACUGAAAAAAGCAAUAGGAUGGCUGUUUUAAGGACUGCAUCAUUGCCACUUCCAGAUGCAUCACAUUCUAUAACAAGAUCUUCAUCAAAAUUGGGGAAUUGGAAGACCGGUGCAACGGCGAGAGCUUGUUUUAACUCAUUGAAAGAGAGGUGGGCCAUCAUUCGUAAGAGGAGGCUUGGCAACUGGAAUCUGGGAGGUAACACAAGUGGUGUGCAACUAACUGAGGCACAGCGAGCAGCACUUCAUGCAAUGAAUUUAGCCCUUGAUCUGCCAGUUAAGAAUACAUUUACAAAUAACUCU